AGAAAUAGUCUAACAAAGGAAUUAUCUUGAUAGGAUAAAAAAUAGGGGUGCAAGUCCCCUUAUUUCUA
rnacentral:tRNA from 1 species